CCACAAUUUGCAUUUCAUUUCUGAUUUCGUACGCAUCUAUCUCUCAUUCACAAUUUCUCACACAAACCCUUGAACCCUAGCCACUGCCGCCACCAGUCCACGGUGUACCAGUGACUACCACGGCCACCACCACAGCUAUGAGCCACCCCUCAAUCAAAAGCCAACACACCAUAGAUCUAAGCCCCUAAUCUUCCUUCCCAUUUGUCAGCUUGCUUUGGAUUAAGUAGUAGCAGCUAAGCAGCACCGGCACCACCAGCUUCACAAGAUGUCGAUUAGUAGCUUGGAGACGAGCAGCUUCUGUUUCCUUCCCGUUUAUGCGAUACCCCACGGUGUCCAUUUCAGUGAGAUUUUCCAAACUUGGUGACAGGUCAUUUCCUUCCUACUUGCGGCUGUCUUCUGGCUGCAUGGUUGGAUUGUUGCUGACAUGGAAAGAAACAGAAGAGGUGAGGCAUGGAGAAUAAGAGGCAGAGAAGAUCAUCUAUUAUGUCAUUCAGCUAAAAGGGAUACUCCCUUCUGCCCAUCUAAUAAGGAUGAAAGUUCCUGCAAGGCCCUUGAACAGCUGCUACCAAAUUGUACACUAGCACUAAGAUGGGAAAAUUCUAUCGAGUUCUUGAGAGGAAUGAUCCGCAACAGAGCUUACACUGGGCAAUUAUUUCAUCAACAAUUGUCAGGUCACAAGAUUCAUUUAAAGCAAAAAGCAGAUUGGGUAAGUAUUCCAUAAAAACAGAGCAUGACAGUUGAUAUACAGGCAAGACAGCAGGUGCCUCUUGGAUCCUAAACCGAUUUACAUCCUAUCAAGAUCUAGCAUUUUCAAGGCAACACAGGAACACCAAAGUAGAUAGGACUGCAAGCUCCAAUAGGCAUGCUAAAAGCCUACUUACAUAAUAUAACAUCAACAAUCGUACCAUGUUUCAAGAUGGUAAAAACAUAAAUAAGCCUCCUGAAAGUACUCCAGCAGUUUCAUGCAGUCCUGUAUCAGUACUUUUAGCAUCUGCUGGUGUGCUGAUUCCUUGAAAAAUCUUCAAGGAGAGUCCAAAUUAACCAGCAAGUUGAAUAAUUUGUUGUGUAGAUUACGUUGUUUCCUAUCUUA